UAAUUAAAUCAAACUUAAAUACGUUUUCAAGAUUCUUCCUUGCUACAACUAAAAGCAAAGCGACUGAUAAGUAAAUAAUAUCCGAAUUUCGAAUGCCAUUUUAAUUCAUGGAAGUUAAAAAGCUCUUUUCGCAACGAUCUACCUUCUUAAAUACCAACAAAACAAUAAACUUCAAUGUUUUAAAAAUUAUUGAUAGCCGCAUUGACACAGUAAAAAAUUAUGAGUUGCUGGUCUCUCUUUAUGAAUGUCUUGCUGCAAGAACUUUUUUUCAUGCAUUUUGGCUUAAUUUAGUUUACAUUUGCUAAAGAAUAUUAGUGGAACUGAGCUGGUUUCGAAAUCAGAUGAUCAGGAUAUGAAUGUAGAAGAUGAUGUUGCACAAGAACAGAUGCACGAUAAACAAGCGGUAGACGGUAUACUAGGAAGAUUUUUGGUAAUGCAUAAACCAGAGAAAACACUGAUCCAAAAUAUAUAUGUUUAUGAGUUUAUUAAUUUUACUAGUAAUCUUUAAUUUAAUCCUAAUGUAAACUUUUAUUUUCUGCU